UACGUAGGUGGCAAGCGUUGUCCGGAUUUACUGGGCGUAAAGAGCGCGCAGGCGGUCGUUCAAGUCGAGUGUGAAAGCCCCCGGCUCAACUGGGGAGGGUCACUCGAUACUGAUCGACUCGAAGGCAGGAGAGGGAAGUGGAAUUCCCGGUGUAGUGGUGAAAUGCGUAGAUAUCAGGAGGAACACCGGCGGCGAAGGCGGCUUCCUGGACCGAUACUGACGCUGAGACGCGAAAGCGUGGGGAGCAAACAGG
rnacentral:rRNA from 1 species